AUACAUACCUGGCACAGGUUGAUGCCCGUGAUCACGAAGGCGGGUUCUCCCCAGGGCAAAGGCUCACCAUUUGCACUCCGGUGGGCGCCGACCCCAGCGAUUAACCCCAAAAUGUGAUUAAAUUGAAUGCGCAAUUUUUUGGUAGCAAGGGCCUGCGUUCCCUUA